rnacentral:rRNA from 1 species
GACGAACGUUGGCGGCGUGCUUAACACAUGCAAGUCGAACGGAAAGGCCCUGCUUUUGUGGGGUGCUCGAGUGGCGAACGGGUGAGUAACACGUGAGUAACCUGCCCUUGACUUUGGGAUAACUUCAGGAAACUGGGGCUAAUACCGGAUAGGAGCUCCUGCUGCAUGGUGGGGGUUGGAAAGUUUCGGCGGUUGGGGAUGGACUCGCGGCUUAUCAGCUUGUUGGUGGGGUAGUGGCUUACCAAGGCUUUGACGGGUAGCCGGCCUGAGAGGGUGACCGGCCACAUUGGGACUGAGAUACGGCCCAGACUCCUACGGGAGGCAGCAGUGGGGAAUAUUGCACAAUGGGCGGAAGCCUGAUGCAGCAACGCCGCGUGCGGGAUGACGGCCCUCGGGUUGUAAACCGCUUUCGCCUGUGACGAAGCGUGAGUGACGGUAAUGGGUAAAGAAGCACCGGCUAACUACGUG